GACGAACGCUGGCGGCGUGCCUAACACAUGCAAGUCGAACGGAAAGGCCCUGCUUUCGUGGGGUGCUCGAGUGGCGAACGGGUGAGUAACACGUGAGUAAUUUGCACUUGCCCUUGGGAUAAUUUUAGGAAACCCGGGCUACUACCGGAUAGGAGCUCCUGCUGCAUGGUGGGCGUCGGAAAGUCUCGGCGGUUGGGUAUGGUUUCGCGGUUUCUCAGCUUGUUGGCCGGGUAGUGGCUUACCAAGGCUUUGACGGCUAGCGGGCCUGACAUGGUGACCUGCUACAUUGGGACGGGAAUACGGCCCAGACUACUGCAGUAGGGAGCAGAGGGGUGUAAUUCACGAUGGGCGGAAGCCUAAUCCAGCAACGCCGCGUGCGGUAGGACGGCAUUCGGAUUGGAAACCGCUUUCGCCUGUGACGGAACGGGAGUGACGGUAACGGGUGAAGAAGCACCGGCUAACUACGUG
rnacentral:rRNA from 1 species